UUUGUGUCUAUAUUUAGAAUACAGAAUUUUUACCUUCUGAUUUUCUGUUCCAUCAGGUUUAUGAUAGAGAACAUUUACUGCAGACACACAAAGAAUCGAAUUCCAAUGCAAAAGCAAAAAUAUCUGAAAGAGCCCCUUAUCUUCUAAAAAGAUACCUAAGCUCCCAAAGUAUGACUCAGAGUCUUGGCAAAGACCAACACAGAUAUUUUUUAGAUAUCUGUGAGAGGCCAAUCCAGAAAUCAGUUCAGCCCAAGGAAAACGAUUUGUAUGGAAGCUGUUUCCAAGUGACAUCCUUGAAGUGUCCCAUGACCAGACAAACCUCACGCUGGAUUGCGAAGACAAAGAUUUCAACAGAUCUGCAUGACAAUUUAAAAAGCAAAGUGAAAGACUGCACAUCUUUCCAGAGCAAGAAAACUGGCAUAAAUUGGACAGAUGAUGAAAAAAGAGUCUACAGGAAUAAAAGAACAGUUCCAUCUCAAGAACUGUUGCGGUGUUUUCUCCCUAUUGUGAACAGCUCUAAAAAUAUCAAAACUGGUCAGAUAAAACAGCCAAUUUCACAACAUUCCUUAUCGGAGCAGAAUCACAAAAAACAACUAAAACAGGUUUGUUAUGGAUUGGAAACUGGUGGUCAACUUAAUGCCAGCAGAAUUAAAUCACCAUGCUGCUAAGCGUAGAUGUUUUACCUGAGGAAAGUUGCCAGCAUAGACACGUGGAGAAAGGAGAAGAGAGGUGUGUUGAGGCAUUGUGGGUUCUCCUAUGUGUUGCUGUUGUGAGCCGUUGGUUCUCCUGGAGAAGUUGUGAUCCUCACAUCAAGCAUUGCUUCCUGGCACUGGAGGGGAAGAUGUGUGCUGCUUGGUCUCCAGGAUGAACUCAUUAAGCUGGCUUCCUGGCAUGUACUCUACUGUGCUUGUCGUUGGAGGAGCUCGGGGCCUCUGUGUUGCUGAGGAUGGCUGUGGUGCUUUUUAGGACAGCCCUAGUCUUUGUUGUGAAUGUGACUUCUUGGCUCCAGUGUAGAAACUUCAAACUACCAGCACAGCUCCUUCACCCUGCUGGCAUAGAUCUUAUGGCUUUUACCAAUGACCUUGGGCCUUCCCAGCACGUACCCAUAAAAGAGACUGGCAUGACUCCUUCUUGUGGGCCUAGACCUCCAGUUGGACUCAUGAGAGGCAUUGUCAUGAGCUCUGGGUUUUCAUCUGGAC
rnacentral:lncRNA from 1 species